AUUUAUAUAGUUUAAACAAAACAUUAUAUUUUCAUUAUAAAAAUAGGAUUUAUUUUUCUUAUAAAUA
rnacentral:tRNA from 1 species